rnacentral:rRNA from 1 species
UGUAGCAAUACAAGGCUGAGCUAGUGGCGAACGGGUGCGUAACACGUGAGCAAUCUGCCUUAAAGUGGGGGAUAGCUCGCCGAAAGGCGAAUUAAUACCGCAUGUGGUUGCAAAACCAAAGCCGGGGAAACCUGGCGCUUGUAGAGGAGCUCGCGGCCUAUCAGCUUGUUGGUGAGGUAACGGCUCACCAAGGCCUCGACGGGUAGCUGGUCUGAGAGGACGACCAGCCACACUGGAACUGAGACACGGUCCAGACGCCUACGGGUGGCAGCAGUCGAGAAUUUUUCUCAAUGGGGGAAACCCUGAAGGAGCGACGCCGCGUGGAGGAUGAAUGCUUUCGGGUUGUAAACUCCUGUCAUUUGGGAACAAAGCCUUACGUUAACUGCGUGGAGGUUUGAUAGUACCAGAAGAGGAAGAGACGGCUAACUCUGUGCCAGCAGCCGCGGUAAUACAGAGGUCUCAAGCGUUGUUCGGAUUCAUUGGGCGUAAAGGGCGCGUAGGCUGCGGGGUAAGUCGGGUGUGAAAUCUCAGAGCUCAACUCUGAAACUGCACUCGAUACUGCUCUGCUAGAGGACUGGAGAGGAGAUUGGAAUUCUCGGUGUAGCA